ACAAGGGCAUUGAGGGGAUGACUUGGUAUUUAAUUAUAAUAUAAGGACGUAUGAAUGCGAAAAGUUAUGGUCAAAAAACUAUAAAUUUCCUUAUGUAAACAUAUUCUUUUUGAAUUUAAAAAAAAUAGUGAAUUGAAACAUCUUAGUAACUAUAUAAAAAAAUCAAACGAGAUUCCGUUAGUAGUGGCGAGCGAUUGCGGAAAUUAGAUAUUAAUAUAUAUAUAAUUUAUUAUGUUGGUAAUAAUUGAUUUGGCUUUAACUUAGGUUUUUGCUAAAAUCGGAACGGUUAACAAAAAAGGUGAUAGUCCUGUAAUUGAUAUAAUAAAUUUGUUUAAAUAUAUAUUAACAAGUAAAAGGAAAUACGUGGAAUUUUCUUUGAAAAAUGGGGGACCACCCUCAAAUCUAAAAAAAUUAAAUAACCGAUAGUGAACAAGUACUGUAAAGGAAAGGUUAAAUAACGUUGAGAGGAUGAAAACUGAAACUCAAUGCCUACAAUCAAUUGGAGCUUUUUUAAAAAGUGACAGUGUACCUUUUGCAUAAUGGGCCAGCAAGUUAAUUAAAAUAGCAAGCUUAAUUUUAUUAAAGUAGGCAUAGAUAACACGAGUCUUAAAAAGGCCCUUAGUUAUUUUAAUUAGACCCGAAACCAAGUGAUCUAACCAUGAACAAAUUGAAGAAUAAGUAAUAUUAUUUGGAGGAUUGAACCCACGUAUGUGGCAAAAUACGGGGAUGAUUUGUGGUUAGGGGUGAAAGGCCAAUCAAACUUGGAGAUAGCUGGUUUUCCGCGAAAUAUAUUUAAGUAUAGCAUUCUAUAAACUUUUUUUGGGGUAGAGCACUCAUUGAACUAGGGGGAUUAACGUCUUACCAAAUUCUUAGAAACUCCGAAUACGAAAAAAUGAAAUAGAGUAGUCAGACAUUGGGCGAUAAGGUCCUAUGUCAAGAGGGAAACAGCCCAGAUUGAACGCUAAGGUCCCUAAAUUUAAUCUAAGUGUUAAAGGAGGUGAAAAAAUGAAAACAACCAGUAGGUAGGCUUGGAAGCAGCCAUUCUUUAAAGAAAGCGUAAAAGCUCAUUGGUCUAGUUUUUUUGCGCCUAAAAUGUAACGGGGCUUAAGAUUAAUACCGAAGCGGCAAGUUUUUUAACGGUAGCGGAACGUUCUGUACGUUGUUUAAAGAUUUGUUGAAAGAUAAAUUUAAGAUAUCAGAAGUGAAAAUGCUGGCAUUAGUAACAAAAAACAAUAUGAAAAUUAUUGUCACCGUAAGUCCAAGGGUUUCUUUAUAAACGAUUAUCGUCAAAGAGUUAAACGGCCCCUAAGAAAAAGGCGAAAGCUUUAUUUAAUGGGUUAAUUUUUAAAAUUAAAUUUUAAUAUUUUGUGACAAAAUUUAUAUAAAUUUUCAAGAAAUAACAAAAUAAAAUUAUUAUAUAUUAUUAUUUAUAAUAAUGUAUAAUAUAAAAUACCGUACCCUAAUCCAACACAGGUGGACGAGUCGAAUAGACUAAGGUGUAUGAGAGAAUUAUGUUGAAGGAACUCGGCAAAAUGACUCUGUAACUUCGGGAUAAGGAGGACCAUUUAUUUAAAAAUAAAUGGUGGCACGAAAUAGGGGGUAGCGACUGUUUAAUAAAAACACAGGACUCUGCUAAAUUGUAAAAUGAUGUAUAGGGUCUGACACCUGCCCGGUGCUGGAAGAUUAAAAGGAAAUGUUUUUGCAUUAAAUUGAAGUCCCAGUAAACGGCGGCCGUAACUCUGACGGUCCAAAGGUAGCGAAAUUCCUUGUCGGGUAAGUUCCGACCUGCAUGAAUGGUGUAACGACUUCCCCGCUGUCUCCAACAUAAACUCAGUGAAUUUGAAAUAUCCGUGAAGAUGCGGAUUAGCUAUAGGUAGACGGAAAGACCCCGUGAACCUUUACUACAUCUUUGUAUUGUAAUUUUUUAAAAUAUGUGUAGGAUAGGUGGUAAUUUAAUAUUUAUAUUAAAUAUCCUUGAAAUACCACUCUUAUUUUAAAUAAUCACUCAUUCUAAAACAUAAGAAGACAGUGCAUGGUUGGUAGUUUGACUGGGGCGGUCACCUCCUAAAAAGUAACGGAGGCGUACAAAGGUAAGCUCAAACUGAUAUUAACAGUUGUAGAGUAUAAUGGUAUAAGUUUGCUUGACUGUUAGAUAGACAUAUCAAACAGGGACGAAAGUCGGUCAUAGUGAUCCGGUAAUUCUAUGUGGAAAGAUUAUCGCUCAACGGAUAAAAGGUACUCCGGGGAUAACAGGCUAAUGACUCUUAAGAGCUCCUAUCGACGGAGUUGUUUGGCACCUCGAUGUCGACUCAUCACAUCCUGGAGCUGAAGAAGGUUCCAAGGGUUCGGCUGUUCGCCGAUUAAAGUGGUACGUGAGUUGGGUUUAGAACGUCGUGAGACAGUUUGGUUCCUAUCUUCUAUAGCCAUUUGGAAAAAUGAGAGAAUCUAACUCUAGUACGAGAGGACCGAGAAGGAUAAACCUCUGAUGUAUUGGUUGUUGUUUAUAUUUAUAUAAAUGGCAUUGCCAAGUAGUUAAGUUUAUUUUAGAUAAUUACUGAAAGCAUCUAAGUAAGAAACUAUUCUCAAGAUAUUUUUCUUUUAAAAUUGUGGACGAUAACCACUUUGAUAGGUUUUAAGUGUAAGUGUUGUAAAAUAUUUAGCUUAGAAAUACUAAAAAUUUUAAUAUCUAUUUU
rnacentral:rRNA from 1 species